UACGUAGGUGGCAAGCGUUGUCCGGAAUUAUUGGGCGUAAAGCGCGCGCAGGCGGUCCUUUAAGUCUGAUGUGAAAGCCCACGGCUCAACCGUGGAGGGUCAUUGGAAACUGGAGGGCUUGAGUACAGAAGAGGAAAGCGGAAUUCCACGUGUAGCGGUGAAAUGCGUAGAGAUGUGGAGGAACACAAGUGGCGAGGGCGGCUUUCUGGUCUGUAACUGACGCUGAGGCGCGAAAGCGUGGGGAGCAAACAGG
rnacentral:rRNA from 1 species